rnacentral:rRNA from 1 species
CAGCAGCCACGGUAAAACAGAGGGUGCGAGCGUUAAUCGGAUUUACUGGGCGUAAAGCGUGCGUAGGCGGCUUUUUAAGUCGGAUGUGAAAUCCCUGAGCUUAACUUAGGAAUUGCAUUCGAUACUGGGAAGCUAGAGUAUGGGAGAGGAUGGUAGAAUUCCAGGUGUAGCGGUGAAAUGCGUAGAGAUCUGGAGGAAUACCGAUGGCGAAGGCAGCCAUCUGGCCUAAUACUGACGCUGAGGUACGAAAGCAUGGGGAGCAAACAGGAUUAGAUACCCCGGUAGUCCCUGUCUCUUAUAA